AGCAGCCGCGGUAAUUCCAGCUCCAAUAGCGUAUAUUAAAGUUGUUGCAGUUAAAAAGCUCGUAGUUGAAUUUCGGGAUCAGCAGGUUGGUCGUGCCAAUGGUAUGCACUGGCCUUGCUGAUUCCUCCCUCUUGAUGAGCCGUAAUGUCAUUAAUUUGGUGUUGCGGGGAAUCAGGACUGUUACUUUGAAAAAUUAGAGUGUUUAAAGCAGGCAAGCGCUUGAAUACAUUAGCAUGGAAUAAUGAAAUAGGACGUUUGAUCCUAUUUUGUUGGUUUCUAGGAUUGACGUAAUGAUUAAUAGGGAUAGUUGAGGGCAUUAGUAUUCAAUUGUCAGAGGUGAAAUUCUUGGAUUUAUUGAAGACUAACUACUGCGAAAGCAUUUGCCAAGGAUGUUUUCAUUAAUCAAGAACGAAAGUUAGGGGGUCGAAGACGAUCAGAUACCGUCGUAGUCUUAACCAUAAACUAUGCCGACUAGGGAUCGGAUGAUGUUAAUUUUUAAUGACUU
rnacentral:rRNA from 1 species